rnacentral:rRNA from 1 species
UACGUAGGGGGCAAGCGUUGUCCGGAAUCAUUGGGCGUAAAGCGCGUGUAGGCGGCUUGAUAAGUCUGCUCUGAAAGCCCGGGGCUCAACCCUGGGAGGCGGGUGGAUACUGUCGAGCUCGAGUCCGGAAGAGGCGAGUGGAAUUCCUGGUGUAGCGGUGAAAUGCGCAGAUAUCAGGAGGAACACCAAUGGCGAGGGCAGCUCGCUGGGACGGUACUGACGCUGAGACGCGAAAGCGUGGGGAGCGAACAGG